rnacentral:lncRNA from 1 species
CCUAUGAUCUACAGUGCCCAUUCCAACUCAGAGAAUCUUUACAUCUGGAGAUCUAUAGCAGGGCUAUCCCUAGUGACAUGCGUGAAGAAGCUUGGAAAUGGUGCUGGGUAGGAGCUGAGUGUGCAGAAUGUGGAAAGGCAUUCUAAACCAAAGGAAGAACACGAGUAAAGAUGAUGAAGCAGGGAUAAGGCUAAAAUGAAAUUUGUGAUCUGAUCCACAUACAAGCACAGUGUAGUACAGCUGGAAUAUAGAGAAGAGCUUGAAGACUUAUGAGCAACUAUCCCGGUACUCUUGGAGGCUCUGCAACCACAGUUUGAGAAACUCCGCGUUCAAAGUUAAAAACUGUCACCUGAAUAGUUAAUAACAUCAAAGAUUGUGAAAGCAAGUAUAAAUAACACAGAGAUUAAAAUAAUGAGGCAGGAUCAGAAAGGGUUAUGGUGGCCAUCCAGACAUAAAGAAAUUAGAACGUUCAUUCAUCUGCAGAUGCUCACACAUUCCUACAGGAUGACUGAAACCCACAGCAAACAAUCCUCAUGGAAUACAGCUCAGCUCAUCCUGAAGUAUAAGUGGGAGGUCAGUCUCACCGGAAAUUCGAUAUCUCCACAUGCAGCUGUCAUGCCACAUGGAAACAGUCAUGCAUAGGGUCCUGUCACCUGGUAGACUGACCCCAGGUCCACUGACCCCUGACAAUCAUCAACCGCUUCUGAGGGCUCCAUGAUUGAGAUUUGUCCCCAGGAACUCAGGGGAAACUAUAUAUUGAUUAAAAUGAACUAUCAAA